UGAUCAUGGACCAAUACUUCUUCUUCUUCAUUCCGUCGCUGAACAUUUCUCUAGCGAGAGCUUUUGCAGUUUCUGUGCUCUAAUUUUCUGAAACAGGAGAUUUCCCUCUCAUGGAAAGCAUCCCAAAACCAGCUGCUCUACACAGGUACGCCCUACCCGUCCCUCCAUAAGUGUGGAUGCAGAAGAGGAUCCUUCAAUUGCCCCUUUUUUGGUGGGAGUCAUCUGUUUGUGACUAUCGACGAGUACUUCCAUUCACUCAACUUGAUGGCAGAAGCUUCGUAAACUAAGGGUGACAUUGGAAUCCACCUUUUAAUCCAAGACCUUCACUACCUUACCAUCCAAACCCAUAAUGGUGGAGAAGCAUCCAUAAUUACUUACACUUCACUGUGCGAUAGAUCUAUGUUUGACUUUACACAGCCCUGUUGAAUCAAGUGGCUGAACACGUUAAGUUUGUCACUGUGCUUGGGAUCUCUACUUUCGUCUAUGGGUUCUAAAUGACUUCCAAUGAUUAGUGUCAAGCGAACACAGUUUUAUGGUGCUGACAAUGAGGUAAUGUAUGAUUUGUGGGUUCUCUGUGUAUUGUCCUUUCAUUAAAUCAUUGUUGCCACUCAUAUUUUGAUGAGGAAUGCGUAGGUGAUGCAAUUGGAUAGAUGGUUGCCUCCAUGAUCCUUAUCCAGACUGCACUGUGUUAAAAUCAAAGAGAUAUUUUGGUACUUUAGAUUUUGUUUCCUUUUGAAUGUAUUUUCCCUUUUCAUUAAAAAAAAUUAAAAGUACUUCUAAAAGGAUAUAUCAUGAAAUCAAAUGUUAUUGCUAUUCUCAUUUUCAUCAAAGCCUAUAGCAUUAGGUCAAAAUAGACAUAGUUAGCUAUACUCUUUUUAUUUUUCAAUUGCUACUUCAUGAUGCUUCAAAGUAGCUAUUUUCUGAUAUACAUGCUAACUCUAAUAACCAUAAUUCAUCUCCUGCAACAGAUUAACUAUAGUUGACUAAACAUUGAUGGUGUAUAUAUAAUGACUAUGAUGACAAUCUAAUCUCUACAAUAUCCUGACUGUUUUAUGAUUUUCAUUAUGGUUUUGCUUUCUUCACUUUAUGAAAUCUUGAGUGUAAUUCCAGUAGUCCAACUUUUGCUCCGUUAGUAGAUGAGAAUGGUUGGGUUCAGGUUUUUUGGAAUGUGUGGUCGUUUGUCAACUGAAACGCUUCACCAAGUAGAGGACAAAAUAAUGUUCUAUGUGAUAUUAAAUCUUAAGGAAAUUAAAUAAAGACUUCUGCUUGGCAUGUUAUAUGGAUGAGUCCAUGUUCAAUAUUCUACAAGUUAUGAAUAGCUUUUCCAUAUCCUGAUUUUCUCCAUUAUGGGGCCUGUUUAGCCAUGAUGUAACUCUUUUAUCUCUAGCUUUCUUGUCAGGUUCUCAAAUUUAGCUCCUAGCACAGCUUUGGCCAACAGGUGUAGUACUUUAAAUUAUUAGAUGAGUGAAGAAGUUUAACAGUAUUGUUUUCAAGCUUUUUCUUGAUUAAAUUUUUGUCAAGCUCCGCACAUGUUUUGUUCUAUCAAGGUAUACAGAGUUAUUUAGUAUAUUGACAAUUGGGGCCAUAUUAUUACAUUGAUAGUUUUGUAGGUGCUUCAAUAGCAAUGCUUAAUUUACUAGGAAGACAUUUUCCUAGUGUAUCUUCAAGCACCUUAAGAUUCUGAUAAUAGAAAAAAUGCCCUUCUCUAUAGGUCUCUAUUUAUAAACUGGCUAACAGGUCAGAAAUUGACAUUCACCUCAUAUGAGACAAGCCGAUUAGUUUCCUUACAUGUCUUUUGUAUCUCUCGAUGUCUAUUGUCUUUGAAGCACAUCUUAUGCAUAGGUUCAAUUGGAGUCUCUGCUCGCUUUCAAGCCAGCAUGUAGUCUCUUCCGGAAGAUUCAAGGAAAAUCUAAUCCAUGAUGAUAAUAAACUUAUUUUGUUGGCAUUGUCGGCGAUUCAUUAGAGUAUGUUGAAGACUCUAUUGCAAGGCUGUGAAGAACAAAUGAUCCACUUGGAUUGGCCCACAAGUGUGAGAAUUUGUCAAGGAAUAGCAAGGGGAUUGGCUUAUCUUCAUGAGGAAUCAAGACAAAAAAUAGUAUAUAGGGAUAUUCAGGUAACUAACAUCUUGCUAGAUAAGGAUGUGAAUGCCAAGAUCUUUGACUUCAGUUUAGCAAAGCUCGAUUAUGAUGAUAAUACCCACAUUGGCACCCGAAUAGCUUGAACAAUGUAUUAUGCCAUAUUAAAUUCUAUAUUUGAUUGCUCAUUAACAGAAUUUAUCUUCACCAUGCACUUCCUCUGUGUUGUAUGAUCUGCUAUUGCAUAAAGCCAUUCUCAUUCAAAUGAUCCUAGAAACAUCAAUAUUUCAUUUGUUUAGUAAAAUCACUAAUUUAUGGGUGUUGCA